UGAAAGCUCUUGAUAAGAUUUGCAAAGAGCACAAAUACAUCAAAACCUUGGUGCACAACUCCAACAAGCUAGAAAAGCCUUGUUCUUACUCCUCCUCAGGACUUCAAAUCAAAUGUUCUUUCAAAGAUUUCACAUGUUUUUGCAGCAACAAGAAAAAGAAGCAUUUCAGAAGAUUUAGACCUUUCAGACCUCCAAUAAUUUCCAGACCCAGACAUAAGAAGUUUUUCAGAUAUGCUGAUAAACCCAGAAGAUUUCAAAGAUUCAAAUUUGUAAGAAAGAAGAAAGAUCCAAAGAUCAAAAG
rnacentral:lncRNA from 1 species